GAAGCUAGUGCAAGACUGGGUUGUGGUCAGGACAAGUAUGGCAAUGAUCAGUAUGUAUGUCUUCCUAACAUAGAGAAGACUGGUCUUGUAGAAUUCUGUCACAAUGGGAUCAUGGGGUUAAUAGAGAGAGGUAAUUGCUUGGAAACUGCAGAGGGUAACCUUUUUACACACAAAUGUUCCAAAUUUGUUUCUGGCUGUCCAGAUGUAGACUUCCGCAGUAACGAAAUCUACAAAUACCCUGCUUGCCAAAGGAUUAGUACAUGGCAUCAUUGCUAUCUUGCUGAUUCAUCAUGUGCAAAUA